rnacentral:rRNA from 1 species
GCCUUAAACAUGCAAGUCGAACGGCAGCGGGAAAGUAGCUUGCUACUUUUGCCGGCGAGUGGCGAACGGGUGAGUAAUGUAUCGGAACGUGCCCAGUAGCGGGGGAUAACUACGCGAAAGCGUGGCUAAUACCGCAUACGCCCUACGGGGGAAAGGGGGGGAUCUUAGGACCUCUCACUAUUGGAGCGGCCGAUAUCGGAUUAGCUAGUUGGUGAGGUAAUGGCUCACCAAGGCAACGAUCCGUAGCUGGUUUGAGAGGACGACCAGCCACACUGGGACUGAGACACGGCCCAGACUCCUACGGGAGGCAGCAGUGGGGAAUUUUGGACAAUGGGGGAAACCCUGAUCCAGCCAUCCCGCGUGUGCGAUGAAGGCCUUCGGGUUGUAAAGCACUUUUGUCAGGGAAGAAAAGGUGUCGGAUAAUACCCGACACUGAUGACGGUACCUGAAGAAUAAGCACCGGCUAACUACGUGCCAGCAGCCGCGGUAAUACGUAGGGUGCAAGCGUUAAUCGGAAUUACUGGGCGUAAAGCGUGCGCAGGCGGUUCGGAAAGAAAGAUGUGAAAUCCCAGGGCUCAACCUUGGAACUGCAUUUUUAACUGCCGGACUAGAGUAUGUCAGAGGGGGGUGGAAUUCCACGUGUAGCAGUGAAAUGCGUAGAUAUGUGGAGGAACACCGAUGGCGAAGGCAGCCCCCUGGGAUAAUACUGACGCUCAUGCACGAAAGCGUGGGUAGCAAACAGGAUUAGAUACCCUGGUAGUCCACGCCCUAAACGAUGUCAACUAGCUGUUGGGCCCUUCGGGGCUUAGUAGCGCAGCUAACGCGUGAAGUUGACCGCCUGGGGAGUACGGUCGCAAGAUUAAAACUCAAAGGAAUUGACGGGGACCCGCACAAGCGGUGGAUGAUGUGGAUUAAUUCGAUGCAACGCGAAAAACCUUACCUACCCUUGACAUGUCUGGAAUCCUGAAGAGAUUUAGGAGUGCUCGCAAGAGAACCGGAACACAGGUGCUGCAUGGCUGUCGUCAGCUCGUGUCGUGAGAUGUUGGGUUAAGUCCCGCAACGAGCGCAACCCUUGUCAUUAGUUGCUACAUUUAGUUGAGCACUCUAAUGAGACUGCCGGUGACAAACCGGAGGAAGGUGGGGAUGACGUCAAGUCCUCAUGGCCCUUAUGGGUAGGGCUUCACACGUCAUACAAUGGUCGGGACAGAGGGUUGCCAAACCGCAAGGUGGAGCUAAUCUCAUAAACCCGAUCGUAGUCCGGAUUGCAGGCUGCAACUCGCCUGCAUGAAGUCGGAAUCGCUAGUAAUCGCGGAUCAGCAUGUCGCGGUGAAUACGUUCCCGGGUCUUGUACACACCGCCCGUCACACCAUGGGAGUGGGUUUUACCAGAAGUAGUUAGCCUAACCGCAAGGGGGGCGAUAACCACGGUAGGGUU